GUCAGUGUUUCCUCAUAUAUAAAGCUCUCGUCUCACUGAGCUAUGUAGCUGGAACAUGAUGAACAAAUCCUCAGUUCUUUUGGGAUGACGUCACCAACGACUUACAAUUCGGAGAAUCCUAUUUUUCUCCACACAGAGGAAGGUAGAGGGAGAAGCAGAAGAUUCUCACCUGUGGAGAGGGUCUCGCAGAGGGAGAACAAAGCACUUAUCUGAGUCAAUUGGAGCGAAUGGGAAACUAACAACUCACCGGCUGGCUGGUUUUAUUGCUUUGUUUGGAGACAAAUCCCGCGAUAUCCUCAGCCGGCGUGGAGCCGGGCGGUGGCAGAGCCUGGUCUUUGAGCUGUUUCUCCACUGCUUGGUUUAUUUUGUAUCGAAUCCUUCCCUUCCUCCGUGAAGCUGUCUGCCAGCACUGAGAUUUGUUUCCAUGGCAGGCUCUAUACCGCCUCAUAAAUCUCAAAGGUGUAAUAGUCUAUGGAGGCUGGACCCACACUUCAAGAUGUUU
ensembl:lncRNA